GUUUCUGAAAAAACAGGCAAGCCACUGGCUGUGAAACGCACAACACGGAGGACUAAAUCUGAGUAAGUUUGGAAACUGAAAUUAGCUCCGGAAGUUCCAGUCUGCUCACUGCCCUCCCAACUGGAAUGAGCUCAUCCCCUUUGCUCAGGGUGCCAGGGCAGGACUGAGUGGACAGCACCCUCAUCCCAUAAUGCGAGAAGUAAACAGGCACGACUCAGCAAACUCACAACUUGUCACCCAGUGGGGGAUUUCUGAAGCUUGACCCGAGAAGCUGACAGGAACUCUGUGGUUCCUCACAACCUCUUCAACCUAAAUGAAAAACAUCAGGACACCUUGUUUCCUGUCUGUUACCCCAAACUCUUAUUCUCUUCGCAUCGGGAGGUGAAAGGAACAGCAUUUCAGCUGUGCAUAAUGGAGCAUACCAGUAAUUCUAGCAGGAAGAUUGCAAGUUCAAGCCCAGCCUGAGCAAUUUAGUGACUUCUCAAGACCCUGUCUCAAGCAAGCAAGCAAACAAACAAACAAAUAGGUUGGGGCUGUGCCUUAGUAUCAAGGCACUGAGUUCAGUUUCAAGUACAGAGCAAAACACAACACAAUACAACCACAACAAACCAGGAUUUCCAGAUUCUUCGGUUUCAGGUGUUGUCCAAUUUUCUUUUCCUGAGGAUGGACUUUCUUCCUUUGGAGGUGGAGGAAAGAGACAAGCCUCAGGUUGAGUCUUUCAUAAUUCUAGCUCAGCCAACUGCAGUAAAGAGUGAGUUCCUUCCUCCUGUGCGGGCCCUGUGUCCACCUCUCAGAACAAUUUCUAUGGUCAGGUUUGAGAGAAGCCCCGGAGACAAAUGUGCCCUUUAGGGUCAAGUGGUGGGAAGACAGAGAAAUGACCCAGGUUCACUGUGAGGGAUGAAAGUGGGGUAGGGCACACUUCUCUCUACUACCCUGACCCUUUAUUUCUUACCAUACUGCCAGCAAGGACUGAGGGGUUUACCAGACUUCUCUGAAAAUUUUGGUGGUGUAUACUGCAGCAAUACAAACAAUCCAGAAUUCCUGGUCUUGGAUGUGCUUUGGCCUGUGUUGAUCACCCUCAGGGAGAUUGGGAUUUCUUUCCGUUGAUCAAUCUCUUGUCAUAUGGUCUGGUCUUUUCUCUUGUUCCCCAGCUGCCUUUUCCUUUCUCUGCUUUUCUGUUUACUUGGUAUGCAGAGUAGUUUCACUUUCCCUUUUUUAUUCCCUCCUCCUAACCCAUGCCCUAAGAUUCAUAUUUACUCUUUUAAUUUUCUUUUUUUUGUAGCUUUCCAAGUAUUGUCCUAAACCCAAACAAUUCUUUUAUUUAUUUAUUAAUUUAUUUAUUUAUUUGUAAAGAGGGUAAAAUUAAACAGAACAAAACAGAUCAUAAGAUAACAAUGUAAAAGAUACAGAUUUCAAAGCAAGACAACCCGAGAUUUUCACUAUCACAUUGUUUCUUGUUUUCUUCCAGAUAGUUGUCCAUAUCUUUGCAUACAAUGAAGAUACAUACAAAACAAAAUAGUGAUCAGAGAAGAAUAAGGAAGACAUUUUAGGUCUUCAAGACCAGACAAUAAGGAAGUCAACAAUGGCUGCCAUAGUGUCUCUCAUUCUCUUCAAAAUAGCUGUCCAUACCUUCAUGUAUGUUGAAAUUAAAUAAAACAAAACAGACUAAAAUCACUCUGAACAAAGCAUAAAAGUAUUGCUGGAUUUCACAUCAUGAUGCUACAGAAUCAGCACUGGGUACCAUAGUGUCUCUUUCUUCAAAGUAGUUGUUCAUUUCAUCAUGCAUUAUAUUAUUGAUUCGCAUACAUUUUUUAGAAGUUCUACGCAUGCAUGAGUCUCUACAUGUAUACCUAUCCUUUCUGUACUAGAGGGAAAAACAUAACAAACAAGGACAAAACAAAAUAAAUUCCUAGAAAAACACAAAAUGAAAAAGACGUAAAAACAACAAUAGCAAAGAGCCCAGAACACUGACAAUAUAGGCCUUCAAAACAAGGUAGUAACUAGGGUUAUUAUUUUACAUAAUGAUCUUCAAGAGUUCAUCAGAUCACCAUACAACAGUAUGCACAACUGUUACAAUCCUAUGGAUGUUAACUAUUUUGCUCUAAGAACUCAUAGAAUUUGUAGUGCAAUCAUCUUAGCUAUCUUGUGUGUUUAUAUAAUUUUAGAUAUUUUUUCUUUUCCCUUACUUCUUCUUUUUCCCCAUUUUCCCUGAAAUAUUAUUUUUCUCCCUUAAGCAGAUUCUAUCCUUUCACUGUAAUUAUUGACUUUUUUGUAUCUUAUAUACUUUUACCGUUUCUUACACUAGGGAGUCUAUACAGUAUUUACACAUGUGAGUUUGAUUUAUUUCACUUAUGAGUAUGGUCUUGCAUUGCAUCCAUUUACUUAUAAAUAUCUCAGUGUGAUCAUUCUUUAUAGCAGAGUAGUACUCCAUUGUAUAAAAAUACCACAACUUUUUUAAUCCAUUCCUCAGUUGAUGGACACUUAGGUUGUUUCCAAGAUCUAGCUAUUACAAAUUAUGCUGCUAUAAACAUGGGUGCACAUAUAUCACUGAGGUAUGAUGUUUUCAGUUCUUCUGGCAAUAUAGCCAGAAGUAGAAUAGCUGGGUCAAAUGGGACUUCCAAUUCCAGCUUUUUGAGAAAUCUCCAGGCUGACCUCCACAAUGGUUGCACCAGUCUACACUCCCACCAACAGUGCAGGAGAGUUCCUUUUUCCCCACAGCCUCUCCAGCAUUUGUUGUUGUUGUUUUUUUUUCUUUUUUUGUCUUUUUCCUUUCCAUCGGUACCAGGGAUCGAACUCACGACUGCCUGCUUGCAAGGCAGGUGCUUAUGCCGCUGAGCUAAAUCCCCAGCCCCUGUUGUUGGUUUUUUUGACCCUGGCCACUCUUUCUGGAGUGAGAUGGAACCUCAGUAUUGUUUUGCAUUUCUCUAAUGACCAACGAUGCUGAACAUUUUUUCCCCGUAUUUAUUUGCCAUUUGUGUUUUUUCAUGUGAGAACUGUAUUCAUCUCAGAUGCCCAUUUUUGGAAUGGGUCUUUGAGUUUGGGGGAUCUGAUUUUUAAAAAUUGUUUAUAUAUUCUAGACAGAAGUCCUUUUUCUGAGGAACCAUUCACUGAGAUUUUUUCCCAUUUGUGGGUUUUCUUUUGGCUAUGCUGGAGACUUCUUUUGACCUGCAAAAACUCUUUAAUAGGACAUGAUCCCAGUUAUUGGUUCUGUUAAGUAUUUCAUGUGUGGUUUGAUUCCUGUUCAUGAAUUCUCUACCUACCCCUAUGUCUUCAAGAUUUCUACCUACUUUGUCUUCCAACAAAUUUAGUGUUUCUGUUUUAAUAUUUAGAUCUCUGAUCAAUUUAGACUUUAGUUUAGUACACAGUGAUAAGCAUGGGUCUAGUUUUAGUUUUUGGCAUAUGGAGAGCCAAUUUUUCUAGCACCAUUUAUUGAAGAGACUAUCUUUCUUCCAGUGGAGGUGUUUGGCCCCUUUAUCAAAGAUAAGGUGGCUGAGUGUGUUUGUAGUUGUAGUUGUAUCUUCUAAUCUAUUCCAUUGAUCUUCAGGUCUGUUUUUAUUCCAGUACUACACUGAUUUUGUUACAGUAGCUUUGUAGUAUAACUUCAAGUCAGGGAUUGUGAUCCUCCUGCCUUGCCUUUGUUGCUUAGAAUUGCCUUUGCUAUUCUAGGUCUCUUCUGGUUCCAGAUAAAUUUUAGGAGUGAUGUGAUUUCUCUAGAUCUAUGAGGUAUGCUAGUGUUAUUUUGAUUGGGAUUGCAUUAAAUCUGUAUAACAAUUUAACCCAAGCAAUUCUUUAAGAGCAAUUCUUGCACUAGCUAUUGGGAUGAUUGGAGUUCUUUGGCAUUGUUUUGCUUCAUUUAAAAAAAUCCUAUUCCAUUACCUUCAUGAGAAGCCAGCCACAGGCCAGAAGCAGGAUCCAUUGAAAUUUUGUGGGCAUGCUUCUUAUGAAUUAAGGAAAGUCUCUGGGGAGACGGAGCUGGCUGCCUUUAAACUUACAGUGAUAUGUUGGAAUACAGCAGCUCCAGAUGUGGAAACUGGCUGAAUUUUGACACUGGUUUGUAUCCAAAUUGAGGACAACAGGCAAUGUACUAUUGAUGCAAAUCAAGUUUAAAUUAUACCCAUCUUGAUGCUGGAGGUUAUUACAUUUAUCGACACCAGAAUGAUUCCAUUUUCACAACACCAGAGUGAGUUGUAAUUAUAAUUUUAAAAGGACACCAGAAAAGAUUUUGUUGUUAUCCUUUUACAGAGACACAGUUCUUGCAAAGUGAGGCCCAUGACAGUCAUCCCCUCCCUCUCCACACUUCUCAUCCUGGUCUCUCACAGCUGGGCUUGCUGAUUUCGUUCUGCAAGGUGUCUCCUUGCUGAGCAGAUCAAGUCUGAAGAGUUGGGGGUCUUUUAAAAGUUGGACCCUGGAGGCAGUGUCCCAGCAGUGAUCCUGGUUAUACAACUUACCCCCAGUUCAGUUAAAAGAACAUGGAUUCUACUUGGACCUUCUGAGUUCCUGUUACUAUUCUUCAGUGUCUCAUCUGGGAGGACUGAGAUCCUGUCUUGCCCUGAAUUCGAAACUUGGGUCUUUCCUAGAUGUCUCCAAUCCAUCUAUUAUGGGCAGAUAAGUUAGACAGAAGUUAAUAUACCAUUAGAGAGAGAGUGGACUCUCAAGAAAGUCAGUAAAAACUAAAGACAUCAGAAUUCUGGCUGGAGGUGCAUCUGAAGAAGACCAGGCUGAGUUGGUGGCAACUGAAGUACAAAAACAACUAAAUGCUUGUAUUGUUUGAUUGAUUUUGCAGGCCUAAGGCCAGUAGUCUGAGCAUUUAUUAAGAGGAUAACAACAUGUAGUAUAGCAAAUAUGAGGGGUUUCCUGCUGUCUUGUUUCUGAAAUCCAAUAUUGUUCUCACAAUUUGAUUUUGUUCUGUUCUAUUAUUUUAUUUUAUUCAACAUUCUGUUUUGAUUGUUUUUUUUCUGUUCUGUUUUGUUUGAUUUUAUUAUGUCUGAUGGUAAGGGCUGCAAUUCUGAAGAUAACAAGAGGCAUUAUGGUAGCCAUUGUUGAUUUCCUAUUAUCCUAUUUUGAAAUCUUGUAUCACUUUUACUAUUUUGUUUUGAUUGGCUUUGUUCUGUUCUAUCUCCGUUGGUUUUAUUCUCUUUAAAAUAUACUUUAAUUCUUUUGCUUUGAUUGCUUUUAUUCUGUUUUGUUUGAUUUUAUUAUGUCUGAUGGUAUGGACAAUUAUUUUGAAGAAAAUAAGAAACAUUAUGGUAGUCAUUGUUGGUUUCCUAUUAUCUUGUUUUGUAGCCUUGUAUCAGUUUCAUUGUUCUGUUCUGAUUAGCUUUAUUCUGUUUUGUUUGGUUUGGUUUUAUUCUCUUUAAAAUAAAAAAAGAAGAAAAGAAAGAGGUGCAGCAGUGUCAUCCUUUGACUUUGUACCUUUAAGACUGUCUCAACAGACAGAUUAGGCUAGAUUAGAAGCUAAUAAAUAGCUUUCUGCUGUUCAUUUUGAGAUACUUGCUCUGGAAGCCUUUGAAGUGUAGCUAUCUUAAGGAGAGAGAGAAAGAGAGAGAGAGAGAGAGAGAGAGAGAGAGAGAGAGAGAGAGCGAGAGACCGUAAUCAUGAGAUCCCAAAACAGAACUAACCUAUCCUUUCCUGAGUUCCUGACCCACAAAAACUAUGAAAUAUAAUACAUAGUAAGUGGUGGUUGUUUUAGGCCAUAAGGUCUUGGAGGUUACUUACUAUAUAGCACUGAUUAUUGGAAUAUGGUGUUUGCUGAGAUAGAAAACAUGCUAUCCCUAAAAUGUAGCACAUUAGCAUACUGAAUAUUUUAAGCAGAAGGAAAUUGAGAGCAGAAAAUUCAUUACCUGAGCUUUUUCUGGCUAUCUCCAUUGAAUCAUAACCAUACAAGCAUUUUCUGACCUACCUCUCCUAUGAGUAUGUCAUAAAAUCCUUAUUUCAGAGGAGUCAUAUCUACAGGUCGAAGAAAGUGAGCAUACUGGCCCUGUUAAGCCUCUCAAUGUCUUGUUCCACCUUAAUUUAUUACCAUUAGAACAUACCUUUCUGUCCUCCUGUCAAACUUUUGUGUGCCUGUCCAUAAAGGAACAAUUUCCCCUGGAUCUUUGGGUUUUCAUUUCUCAACUCUCCUGUGUCAUAUAAAGUUUAUGUUAAAUACAUUUAUAUGCUCUUCUCUUGUUAAUCUCUUUUGUUAUAAGGGUCUCAGCUAUGAACCUGGCAAUGGGUGAAAAAAAGGAUAGUAGUUUUCCUUUCCUUCAAUAUGUACCCAGAUUUUUGCUGGUUCCAAAGCUCCUUUGCAUGCAUAAGGCCAGUAGUCUGAGCAUCUAUUAAGAGGAUAACAAUAUGCAAUAUAGUAAAUAUGUUUAUUUCAUUGAGAAAAAUUCUCAGACUCCUCUGUAUUACAUUCAAAAAUGUUAACGGUUUGGACUGAAACAAUUUAAUUUUCAAUGCAUGCUCUACAACUGCAUCGCUUGUGACUUCAUCCUAAAAUGUGUAGAGGAGAAAUGUGAGCUUUGGAGAGAGUUGGGCAUUGUAAAGGAGACCAAAUAACGUCUUUUCCUUACCCAUUGCAAGGUUUAUGACACCCUAAUAGCAACAGCUUAAAAUGAGUGAAAACUGAUGAAUUUAUCUAACCAAAAAUUUAUGUGUUACAGAAAUCUUUAGAAAUGAAAACCAAAUGAUCCAGGGAAAGUGUGGGGUGGGUUUUUUGUUUGUUUUUUGGUUUGUUUUUGAUACCAGCAAUCAAACUUACAACCUCACGCUUGCUAGGUAGGCACUUGCACAGCUGAGCUAACCCACAGCCGUGAAAGUGGUGUGUUUUUAUGCUUAGAUUCAAUGCAGAAAGGACAACCAUAUAAAAGUAUGAUUAGAUAAAGAGGCAUAUGAUCUAGUGGUAAUAAACUAGGAUGGGGAGCGUUAGCAGGACCUAUUUGUUCAUAUUUCUCUGGGCCUCCUGGUAUAGGGAUCUGUAUAGGGCAAGAUCCCAUUGGAAUGUUUUUAAGGCCUACUUUUGGAGAGAUAGGUCAGGCCAUCUUUAGGGGAAGGAGAAGAUCAGAGAAAGUUAGAGACACUUUUCCGCUUUUGUGGAUUUCCAAGUUUCCUUCAGCCUUAAGUACUCAGUGUGCCAAGUGCCGUACUUGGUGUAGAUUUUCCUGAAGUUCAUUGGUAUGCUUCCCCACUUAACAAACGUGUGACCCUGGGCAAGUCACUUUACUUCUCUGAGUCUUGAUAUCUUCACUUAAACUGUGUCCCUUUGUAGGAUUCCCUUAGUAGGGUGUUUUUGGGCAGGAUAAGGAGCAGUGAAACCUUUGAAUUCCUAAGAACACAAAGGUAGAUGAAGUAUAUUUUUUAUAUUGUAAGGUAGGUAAAAGUCAAUUUUCCCUGUAUACUGUCUGAGUUCUUAGUUAAGAAAGACUGUUUAAAAAAACAGAUUAACAAGAGAAAAAGAAAAAUAAAUUAGUACUGUAUAUACCUCAUCUAUACGUGGAAGAUUUCCAGGGAAGAGUCACUGUUUAAGAUGUGUCUCAAAUGCCAUCUACUAACACAGUGGAAGGUAUGUGGGGAGGAUUCGGUUACAAUAGUCCUAACUUUUCCUAAGGUCGUAAGUAAAUAAAUAAGUCAAAGCAAGUUUUACUAUGUAUAUAUAAGCUGAUGACUUCUCUAUUGGUUGAGUUUCUUGUCAUUUAGUCAUCCUCUUUCUAUUACAGAAAUAGAAUCCACUCCAAACAAAGAAUUUCCUCUGUGGAGGGAAAUUUCUCUUACAAAUGGGUACUUUCCCUUUUUUCAGAACAACUUCUGUGUCUACUGUUUCCUAAAAUAAUCAGCUCAGAAUAAUCCUUUCCUAAAGAGGCCUACUUGGGGUGACAUGUUCUGGUCUGCUAGUCAUAUUUUGGGGUAGAAUGCCCUAAACCCCAUCAAUAUGUAUGUUAACUUGUUCAAUUUUCUCUCAACUACUCUAUAAUAUGGAAACUAUUUUACUGUUAGCAGGAAAUGAAGCUAAGAAUGUAAUAGAUUUUUGUCAGGGUCUCAUUUUGUGGCCUCAUGUUGUUUUAGUUCUUCACUCCCUUUCAGCAAUUGGGCAAUACAUCUACAUCUUGCUAUGUGACAGUGUCGUUGUAUGUUACCAUCUUGUGCCUUAAGGUUCAUACAUGAACUUGAUUUGGUUGAUGGUCAAGCAAAGGCUUGAAGUGCCAUGCACAGUUGAGAUUGUUUUUCUCUGUCAUUCCCAUGAGCCUGGAACUAGCCCAGGCAUGAAAAUGACCUGCCUGGGCUAGUCCCAGGGAGGAGG